rnacentral:tRNA from 1 species
UCCCCAGUGCCGCAACUGGUUAGCGCGCGGUACUUAUAAUGCCGAGGUUGUGAGUUCGAUCCUCACCUGGGGAA